UUUUUUUAAUUGAGACAGAGUCUCUCUUCAUUGCCCAGGCUAGAGUGCAGUGGUGCGAUCUUGGCUCACUUUAACCUCUGCCUCCAGGGUUCAAGUGAUUCUCCCACCUCAGCUUCCUGAGUAGCUGGGAUCACAGACACAUGCCACAUGCCCGGAUAAUUUUUUUUAGUGGAGACAGGGUUUCGCCAUGUUGGCCAGGAUGGUCUCGAACUCCUGGCCUCAAGUGAUCCGCCUGCCUAGGCCUCCCAAAGUGCUGGGAUUACAGGCAUGAGCCACUGCGCCUAGGCUAACUAUACAUCUAUAGUUAGCAAUUCAUUUUCAAAAGCAAUUCAUCCUUUGGAAACAGUAGUUUGGCACAGAGGAGGCCAUAAAAUCAGAUUUGCUAUCAAUUCUACCACCAAUAAUCUACCAUGUAUCUGAUUUAAGAACAGUCUACAAGGACAGAAAUACAUCAUUUUUUAUUCCCUGCUCCUUUCUUAACAGAAAUAUGUAUAAGACAGGGAAAAACACAAAUUUCUGUAGUGGGAUUAGGGGAUUUUAAUGAAGGCAACAAGAGUAAUUUGAAAUAUCUGAUGAGAUGAAUGAGUGAUUUUUAUUUUUUGUAAAUAGCUAUUAUAUUAAGGAAAGGGGCUUAAGGGGUUUAAACAAAAAACAAACAAUAUCAUGCUAAAAAAGAGUAAUUGUGGUAAGUGAGGAGCUUUAAUUAAGUCUGUUAAAACUGUCUGUACUCACAUUCUUGGAAAUAAUCCCAAUUUGAAGACCACUGUUCAAUGACUCCACUAGGUGAAAAAUCAUCUUCUUCCUAUCAAAAGUGAGGUAGACAUUUAAUACUUCCAGUCAAGCCUGAAUCAAGACUUUCUACAUUUAAAAAGGCAGAUGAUGGAAAAUUACACUAGAAAUCAGCUGGAAUGGGGGCAGUGUUGCUCACUGGCUCAGGUUGUGUCUACCCAGGAUGACCUGAUGUUCUGGUUUGCUUUCCCCAGCAGGAUGUGGUGCACCUCUUGUCCCAGCAUCCUGGCAGUUUUUCUUUACUUUUCUUCUUUUUCUUUCCAGACAAAAGUGUCCAAAUUUAGAUAAUAAAUUAUAUAUCACAUACUUCUACCUCAAUCCUCUCCCAUUUAUAUGACUUUUUGAGAAACUAUGGUUCAAGGUUGAUCAAUAAUUAUGUAGAAAUGCCCAGAGCCACAGAGUUCUUACAUAAAGGGAAAAUGUUCUCACCCCUAAUUCCAAUAUUAUAGAACCUGAGGCUGUGUGCUUUCUGACUGUAGCUUUAUCCCCAGGUCCAAAAUAAUGAGCUAUAUAAAUGACCAACAUAGGACUAUUUUUCAAUGGGGAAAAAGGCAGGGAAACUGGAUAUUUAAUUUGCAAAAUUAAAGCUGGUCAUUAGCUUCACAAAGAGAUUAGCAGUCUGUCGAAUUCUUACAUUGAUGUUUCUUAAGGGAAUAAGAUGGAGUGAAAAUGUCUGAGCUUUUUAUUUCUCAAUUUAGCAUAGAGUAUGUGAAUGAGUUACAUUCAUUUUCGUUCAACAUUCACUCUGCAAUUAUUCAUUAAGUAUUUAAGGCACCCCAAAUGCCUGUCUUCAAGGACUUUAAAGUUAAGUAGGGGAGACAGACAAGCAAAGAAUGCAAUAUAAGGUGGUAGGUACUGCAAAAACAUAAAGUGGGAAAACAAAGGAAAAACUUCCAGCAUGUCAAAAUGUAUUAGGAAACCCUUUUGAUCCUUCCUGACUUUAGACGAGUAAAUAGAGCUCUGUAUUUUUGGUUCAUGAACGUACUUCCUUAAUUCUAACAAUGUGAAUACACAAGUCCCCCUCCCUGACAAAUGUCUGAAUCUUAAAGCUGAAUGUAAUUGGCAUCUAUUUUUGAACUUUUAUGAACUAUUUGUGGAGAAACGUUUUGCUUCUUGAUGCAAAGCCAUGGGCAACUGCAAUUCACCACAACUUCUCUCCUGCUGCCUGAAUUCUUUGAAUAAGGCAUUGUGUGAAAUUCCGACCUCAUUAAAUCUGCUGUUUAGCUGUGCUCUGUGCAGCCACUGCGAAUCUGCUCUGGGUCAACCCUCCUGCUUGUGAAACCAUUUAAGGCAAACAAGAUGCCUGAACCAUGAGGUGUAACAUAAUACCAAAGUCAGACAGCCACAUUCUUUACUGCUUAAGUAAAUUUCUACAUUCUUUGCUGAUCAAACUAAACUCUUUUUCGUUUUUAUUUGGUAGAAUCAUUCAGACAAAAUGUUGCUUCCUCCAAAUAAUAAACUGCACUGGAGGAUCACAUAGUUAAAGAGCCGAGAAGCUCAUUUCACUUAACCAUAGUCUACAAAGGCAUAAAAAUUCAAGUGGAAAGAGUCCCCCUGAACAGAAGAUUCAUUCCAGAAUAAUUUUACUCUGCUCUAAAGCAACCCAAGAAGUCAUUAAGUGUGUGUGUGCUCACGUGCAUGCAUGUGUUAGGUAGAUGGGAAAAAUGUCUGCCAGAAUUGAGACCAUAUUCUCAUUUCACAUGAUUUGACAGUUCUUAUGAGGCAGCAGUGACUGUUUUUCUACCUACCUUGGUGACAGUCUCAAAUCAAUCAGUGACCUAGAUGGAAAAGAUUUUAUAGCCCAUUACCCAAGCCUUCAGUCAUCCCACUGGUAUUGUGACCGAACUGAUUUUCAACUCCAAAAAUAGACUCUGCUACUGAAGUUAUGAGAUUUUCCAGACAGAGACAACAAUGUGAUCGGCUUGGAGUAGACCUACAGAUUUCUUCAAAAGUAUUUGUGAUAUAUUUUUAUAACUUCAAUUAUUCACAAUGCCUCAAAUAAGCACCAUUGUUAAGUUUGAAAAGUUAUAUAUGUGAUAUAUUAGCAUGACAUAUUAAUACUUAAUGUGGAAACACAUAACAAAUUCAUUAAAAAGACUUUUUUAAGCUCUUUG
rnacentral:lncRNA from 10 species